rnacentral:rRNA from 1 species
GACAGAGGGUGCAAACGUUGCUCGGGAUUACUGGGCGUAAAGCGCGUGUAGGCGGUUUCGCAAGUCUAGUGUGAAAGCCCAGGGCUCAACCCUGGAAGUGCACAGGAUACUACGGAGCUUGAGUACUGAAGAGGAGAGCGGAAUUCCCGGUGUAGAGGUGAAAUUCGUAGAUAUCGGGAGGAACAUCAGUGGCGAAGGCGGCUCUCUGGGCAGAUACUGACGCUGAGACGCGAAAGCAUGGGGAGCAAACAGG